CCCGUGUUUUCUGUUACAGGUUUUAGGUUUUGAUUCCUUCAAAGGGCCCAGACUGGAGAGAUGGCUCAGUAAUUAAAAGCACUUGUUAGUCUUCCAGAGGACCUGAGUUCAAUUCCCAGCACCUAUGUCAGACAGCUCACUGCUUCCUGUAACACUAGCUCCAGACUUUACUGAAUGUUCACAGAUCUGGAGAUAUGCAGUCUUCCCUGUAUUACAGGAUCUGUGUGAAGAGUGGGGAUGGAAUCUCUGCGCUCCUUCACUGUGGUUGAUUUUAACAGGGGAACCAGAGGCAGGAACCAAAAACCAGUAAGGCAUCCAAUAAAAUUUCACUCAUUCUGGAUCACACUUAAGAUUUUUCUCCUACAUUGAUACCACAAACCAUAAAAUCUUGCUGUUGCUGAAGAUCUGUGGAUAUAGGACAGCUCUCCCGUCAUGGGGAGUCCUACCCCAGUCUCAAGGAUGCCCCUCCAUUUUACCUAGUUUCUUCAGCAGCUUGCAGGCUGACUCACUAGGAGGGCUCAGUCAACAACUGCAUUCUCCGGUAUUAAGUAUGGUGAAAGAUGAUGAAGCUAGACUCAGUUAAACCGCAGAAAGACUGUCUUCAGAUAAGAAGAAGCCGUGAUGCUCAAAGCUGCUGUGGGCCUCUGCUGUAUGACCAACAUUAAGGCCAGUGCUUUGAACACAUGUGCCUAAGGAUCUAACAUAUCUACAUACAAGAUGAUUGAAAGCGAGGCACGGUGUUUCAUCUCCUUAGACUGUGUCCAG
rnacentral:lncRNA from 1 species